rnacentral:piRNA from 1 species
UAGUGGUGAAGAGUAUCCUUGCAGAUGUUC